UACGAAGGGGGGCUAGCGUUGUUCGGAAUUACUGGGCGUAAAGCGCACGUAGGCGGAUUUGUAAGUCAGGGGUGAAAUCCCGGGGCUCAACCUCGGAACUGCCUUCGAUACUGGGGACCUCGAGUCCGGGAGAGGUGAGUGGAACUGCGAGUGUAGAGGUGAAAUUCGUAGAUAUUUCGCAAGAACACCAGUGGCGAAGGCGGCUCACUGGCCCGGUACUGACGCUGAGGUGCGAAAGCGUGGGGGAGCAAACAGG
rnacentral:rRNA from 1 species